GGGGAAUAUUGCACAAUGGGCGAAAGCCUGAUGCAGCAACGCCGCGUGAGUGAUGAAGGUCUUCGGAUUGUAAGCUCUGUCUUUUGGGACGAUAAUGACGGUACCAAAGGAGGAAGCCACGGCUAACUACGUGCCAGCAGCCGCGGUAAUACGUAGGUGGCGAGCGUUGUCCGGAUUUACUGGGCGUAAAGGGUGCGUAGGCGGAUGUUUAAGUGAGAUGUGAAAUACCCGGGCUUAACUUGGGUGCUGCAUUUCAAACUGGAUAUCUAGAGUGCAGGAGAGGAGAAUGGAAUUCCUAGUGUAGCGGUGAAAUGCGUAGAGAUUAGGAAGAACACCAGUGGCGAAGGCGAUUCUCUGGACUGUAACUGACGCUGAGGCACGAAAGCGUGGGUAGCAAACAGGAUUAGAUACCCUGGUAGUCCACGCCGUAAACGAUGAGUACUAGGUGUAGGAGGUAUCGACCCCUUCUGUGCCGCAGUAAACACAUUAAGUACUCCGCCUGGGAAGUACGAUCGCAAGAUUAAAAC
rnacentral:rRNA from 1 species